rnacentral:rRNA from 1 species
UACGUAGGGUGCGAGCGUUGUCCGGAAUUACUGGGCGUAAAGAGCUCGUAGGUGGUUUGUCGCGUUGUCCGUGAAAACUCACAACUCAAUUGUGGGCGUGCGGGCGAUACGGGCAGACUGGAGUACUGCAGGGGAGACUCGAAUUCCUGGUGUAGCGGUGGAAUGCGCAGAUAUCAGGAGGAACACCGGUGGCGAAGGCGGGUCUCUAGGCAGUAACUGACGCUGAGGAGCGAAAGCGUGGGGAGCGAACAGG